CGUCUCCGAACCACGCAUGCGCGGUUAGAUGUGGUCCGACUGGCCCUGACGUCAUGAUCACGUUGGGCACCGAUAAUCUCACGAGAGCGAGGCGCUUGCAGUUGCUUCUCCACGGACUGCCUGGCCCAGUGCAUGAUGGGAGAUCCGUACGAGGCAGCUGGAGACCCUCCCACGUGAUGACGCUGUUUAUCUUCCUGAUGGCGCCGCGGACGGCCGCCUCGGUGUGUUGGUGCGCGAUGUUUUUUGUUGUUUUCGUUUUAAAUACUGUUUUCUGCUGUGAUUCCCAGAGCUCUUUCACCAGAGAAGAGCUCAUGAACAUCAGGGGAACAACUCCAGCGGAUUUAUUUCCAACGUAUUUCACACACCCAAACACUUUCACAUUAUUUGUUGUCUUUCUGUCGUGUUGAUUGUUGUUUGUUUGUCAUGUCCAAAUGUUGCACCUUCCACCAAAAAAAAUUCCUCGUUUGGGUAAACAUUCCUGGCAAUAAAACUGUUUCUGAUUCUGA